rfam:Rattus norvegicus chromosome 3, whole genome shotgun sequence.
GGGGAUUUAGCUCAGUGGUAGAGUGCUUGCCUAGCAGUCGCAAGGCCCUGGGUUCGAUCCCCAGCUCCG